UCGGGAAUUUUGGGCAAUGGGCGAAAGCCUGACCCAGCAACGCCGCGUGAAGGAUGAAGUAUUUCGGUAUGUAAACUUCGUAAGAAUAGGAAGAAUAAAUGACGGUACUAUUUGUAAGGUCCGGCUAACUACGUGCCAGCAGCCGCGGUAAUACGUAGGGACCAAGCGUUGUUCGGAUUUACUGGGCGUAAAGGGCGCGUAGGCGGCGUGGUAAGUCAUCUGUGAAAUCUCCGAGCUUAACUCGGAACGGUCAGAUGAUACUGCUGUGCUAGAGUACAGAAGGGGCAAUCGGAAUUCUUGGUGUAGCGGUGAAAUGCGUAGAUAUCAAGAGGAACACCUGAGGUGAAGACGGGUUGCUGGGCUGAUACUGACGCUGAGGCGCGAAAGCUAGGGUAGCAAACGGGAUUAGAUACCCUAGUAGUCCCUGAGCGGGCUGGCAAGGCGCAU
rnacentral:rRNA from 1 species